rnacentral:rRNA from 1 species
AUUGAACGCUGGCGGCAGGCCUAACACAUGCAAGUCGAGCGGAUGAAGGGAGCUUGCUCCUGGAUUCAGCGGCGGACGGGUGGGUAAUGCCUAGGAAUCUGCCUGGUAGUGGGGGAUAACGUCCGGAAACGGGCGCUAAUACCGCAUACGUCCUGAGGGAGAAAGUGGGGGAUCUUCGGACCUCACGCUAUCAGAUGAGCCUAGGUCGGAUUAGCUAGUUGGUGGGGUAAAGGCCUACCAAGGCGACGAUCCGUAACUGGUCUGAGAGGAUGAUCAGUCACACUGGAACUGAGACACGGUCCAGACUCCUACGGGAGGCAGCAGUGGGGAAUAUUGGGCAAUGGGCGAAAGCCUGAUCCAGCCAUGCCGCGUGUGUGAAGAAGGUCUUCGGAUUGUAAAGCACUUUAAGUUGGGAGGAAGGGCAGUAAGUUAAUACCUUGCUGUUUUGACGUUACCAACAGAAUAAGCACCGGCUAACUUCGUG